UCCUAACGGACGAAUUUCAAAACUAGUCAUAAUUGGAUGUUAAAAUUCGGUUCUAUUUUAAGAACUGAUAUGGACCGUUGAUCUAACGACGUUGUGUAUAUACACAGAGAUACAUCUACAUAUACAUUUUUGCAGCCAUUUUAGCAAAUAAUUCCUUAAGUUGGAACUUAUUUACAAUGUCAUGCCACUAACAUUUAAUGUUUUAACAAACUUAUUUUUAAAUCUAAAUAUAAAAUCGAUUAUGUUACUAAAAUUUAGGAAACUAAAAGAAAA
rnacentral:sRNA from 1 species